rnacentral:rRNA from 1 species
UCCUACGGGAGGCAGCAGUGAGGAAUAUUGGUCAAUGGGCGAGAGCCUGAACCAGCCAAGUAGCGUGCAGGAUGACGGCCCUAUGGGUUGUAAACUGCUUUUAUAGGGGAAUAAAGUGAUCCACGUGUGGUUUUUGCAUGUACCCUAUGAAUAAGGACCGGCUAAUUCCGUGC